GACGAACGCUGGCGGCGUGCUUAACACAUGCAAGUCGAACGGAAAGGCCCUGCUUUUGUGGGGUGCUCGAGUGGCGAACGGGUGAGUAACACGUGAGUAACCUGCCCUUGACUUUGGGAUAACUUCAGGAAACUGGGGCUAAUACCGGAUAGGAGCUCCUGCUGCAUGGUGGGGGGUGGAAAGUUUCGGCGGUUGGGGAUGGAUGCGCGGCUUAUCAGCUUGUUGGUGGGGUAGUGGCUUACCAAGGAUUUGACGGGUAGCCGGCCUGAGAGGGUGACCGGCCACAUUGGGACUGAGAUACGGCCCAGACUCCUACGGGAGGCAACAGUGGGGAAUAUUGCACAAUGGGCGGAAGCCUGAUGCAGCAACGCCGCGUGCGGGAUGACGGCCUUCGGGUUGUAAACCGCUUUCGCCUGUGACGAAGCGUGAGUGACGGUAAUGGGUAAAGAAGCACCGGCUAACUACGU
rnacentral:rRNA from 1 species